GGGGCGUUGGUCUAGGUGGUUAGGACGCUGGCCUUUCAAGCCAGAGAUCACGGGUUCGACUCCCGUACGCCCUACCA
rnacentral:tRNA from 1 species